UGCCCUUCACUCUGGGACAAGCCCUGGAAACGGGGUCUAAUACCGGAUACUGACCCUCGCAGGCAUCUGCGAGGUUCGAAAGCUCCGGCGGUGAAGGAUGAGCCCGCGGCCUAUCAGCUUGUUGGUGAGGUAAUGGCUCACCAAGGCGACGACGGGUAGCCGGCCUGAGAGGGCGACCGGCCACACUGGGACUGAGACACGGCCCAGACUCCUACGGGAGGCAGCAGUGGGGAAUAUUGCACAAUGGGCGAAAGCCUGAUGCAGCGACGCCGCGUGAGGGAUGACGGCCUUCGGGUUGUAAACCUCUUUCAGCAGGGAAGAAGCGAAAGUGACGGUACCUGCAGAAGAAGCGCCGGCUAACUACGUGCCAGCAGCCGCGGUAAUACGUAGGGCGCAAGCGUUGUCCGGAAUUAUUGGGCGUAAAGAGCUCGUAGGCGGCUUGUCACGUCGGUUGUGAAAGCCCGGGGCUUAACCCCGGGUCUGCAGUCGAUACGGGCAGGCUAGAGUUCGGUAGGGGAGAUCGGAAUUCCUGGUGUAGCGGUGAAAUGCGCAGAUAUCAGGAGGAACACCGGUGGCGAAGGCGGAUCUCUGGGCCGAUACUGACG
rnacentral:rRNA from 1 species